GGAGAAAUGGCUGAGUGGUUUAAAGCAACGAUUUGCUAAAUCGUUAUAUAAUUAAUAUUUAUAUCAUGGGUUCGAAUCCCAUUUUUUCCA
rnacentral:tRNA from 1 species